rnacentral:rRNA from 1 species
GAUGAACGCUGGCGGCGUGCUUAACACAUGCAAGUCGAACGGAAAGGCUCCUGCUUGCCGGGGUACUCGAGUGGCGAACGGGUGAGUAACACGUGGGUGAUCUGCCCUGCACUUCGGGAUAAGCCUGGGAAACUGGGUCUAAUACCGGAUAGGACUAUGGGUUGGUUGCUAUUCUGGAGAGUUUUUUCGGUGUGGGAUGGGCUCGCGGCCUAUCGGCUUGUUGGUGGGGUAUUGGCAUACCAGGGCGUCGACGGGUAGCCGGCCUGAGAGGGGCGACGGCCCAAUUGGGACUGAGAUACGGCCCAGACUCGUACGGGAGGCAGAGGUGGGGAAGGUUGCACAGUGGGAGGAAGGCUGAUGUGGCGACGCCGUGUGGGGGAAGACGGCAUUCGGGUUGGAAAGUACUGUCGCUAGAGACGAAGCGAUAGUGACGGUACCUGGAGAAGAAGCACCGGCUAACUACGUG